rnacentral:rRNA from 1 species
GUUGAACGCUGGCGGCGUGCCUAAUACAUGCCAGUCGAGCGAACAGACGAGGAGCCUUCUCUUCUGACGUUCGCGGCGGACGGGGGAGUAAAACGUGGAUAACACUCCUUUAAGGCUGGGAUAAAUUCGGGAAACCGGUGCUAAUUCCGGCUUAUAUAUUCAACCGCAUGGUUCAGUAGUGUAAGACGUUUUUGCUGUCACUUUGAGCAGGAUCCGCGACGGAUUAGCUAGUUGGUAGGGUAACGGCUUACCAAGGCGACGAUCCGUAGCCGACCUGAGAGGAUGAUCAGCCACACUGGAACUGAGACACGGUCCAGACUCCUACGGGAGGCAGCAGUAGGGAAUAUUGCGCAAUGGGCGAAAGCCUGACGGAGCAACGCCGCGUGUAUGAUGAAGGUCUUCGGGUUGUAAAGCUCUUUUAGUAGGGAAGAACAAAUGAAUGUGAAACUAUGCACGUCUUGACGUUACCUAAAGAGAAAGCCCCGGCUAACUACGUG